rnacentral:rRNA from 1 species
UACGUAGGGUGCGAGCGUUAAUCGGAAUUACUGGGCGUAAAGCGUGCGCAGGCGGUUUUGUAAGCCAGAUGUGAAAUCCCCGGGCUCAACCUGGGAAUGGCAUUUGGGACUGCAAGGCUGGAGUGUGGCAGAGGAGACUGGAAUUCCCGGUGUAGCAGUGAAAUGCGUAGAUAUCAGGAGGAAUACCGAUGGCGAAGGCAGGUCUCUGGGCUGACACUGACGCUCAUGCACGAAAGCGUGGGGAGCAAACAGG